GGACUCUGUCGCAGAGUAAUCUUUUCUUCAAUACCCAGUCCCCACUUUGAAAGAACGAGGUUUGACCCUUGAGUCAUAGUAGUUGGAGAUGCGCUGCUUGUAGGCGACAUUCCUCAAGUGAGCAUGGUUUCUGUGUUCCUCGACUAGAUCUAAGUUGAGGGUAAGUUUUUUGUCAUUUUCGCUUUGCACGUAGUUCUGGACUCGGAAUGCUGAUUGCUCAAGCUCAAC
rnacentral:lncRNA from 1 species